CUGAAAAGAUGUCUUUCAAUUUGCCUUUCUUCCUUGCAGUUUCUUGUUGCAGUCUGUAUACUGUUGUAACCCAUCAAAAAGCAGCACAAUAAAGUGAAAUGUAUAUGUUUGAAUCAAAAAUAAUUACGCAACAAGGACCAGCUGAAUGAAAACCCAAUAUUAUCAGACUUGCAACUAGACGUCUGGUAGUUAAGAGAGGCUCACAAAAUCGUAACAAAUUGCAUUUUACCUUCCAAAAGUCUGUGAAUUAGACUGUCAACAUUUAGUUCGUCAGCCAUAUUUACUACACGAAUAAAUUUAUGUCAAAAAGUCAAA